rnacentral:lncRNA from 1 species
AAAAAAGUGUAAAAAAAGUUCUUGAAUAUUAGAGCGUGUAAAAUAUAAUGCAGACUCCAGUACUAAAGUACUGUAUGUAUACUGUAUGAAGUAAUGGAGCCAUGUUUCAUCCAUAGUUAUGAAACGGUGCAAAAGUUCUGCUUUAUUGCUGUGAAACUUUCCUAAACACUUUGUAAACUUCUUCACGACAUUUUUUUUCUCGAGUAUAAUAUACAAUGUGCCGCACUUUUUGAAAUGCCUAAAAUGACGGAUAGCUCACGCACUUUCAGUCGAUGAUCCACCAGUAUUGAGUAAUUGAUGUUCUUCGCAAUUUCUGGAGUCGUCACCUCAUUUGGUCAACCACUGUGAUGCUUGUCUUGGCAGCUCGUACGGCCUUGCUUAAACUCAGCAAGCCAAACUUUUACUUUGAUAAACGGAGGAGCAGACACACCCAGAGUAUUAUUCAAUUCAGCUUUUAUAUUGGUUGGGCUGAACAUUUUCAAA